AUUUCCUUGGAAAUACCCUAAAAAAAUUCCCUAAAAAUUUUAGCCCUUAAUAUUAAUAUUAAGAACUGGACCAAGGCCUGUAAAAAUUUUCCAUAGAAAAUACACUACAAUCGUGAGUUUUUAUCAUUAAAUUCCCACAGAUCAGAAGUAUUUUAUGGCAUCGCUUUGACUUUAAACGCAUAUCUCUCAGAAUUGUUCACUCUACAAAAGUGCCCAGUGCAACAAAGUCGUAACUCACACCGGCGAGGUAGUACGGGGCUCUAAAUCCGAUUUUUCCAAGAAUUUCGCAUUUUUUUGUAUAUAUCUUGUAAAAGACAGGAGCUAUAGAAAAAAUGUUCAUGGCAAAUUUGUAGGAAAUUUUAUUUGCUACAAAAAAGUUCCGAUGUCAAAAUCGCUAUCAUUAAUACUCCUCGAGAUAUUCAGCUUUUUAAGUAAGGCUUUAUAGAAUUUUUAUAGAUGUUAUGUAUUAAAAAAUCAAAAAGUUAGAGAAGUAAUUACGUCACUACAAAAAGUAAAUAAGUUGUCUCAGUCUGCAAUUCCAUCAUUAUUAAGUCAUAAGCUUAUUUGGUUAUAUUAUUUAAACUUGAAAAUUCUAAUUAAGUAUAAUUUGAAAAUUUCUAAUCCCAAAAAGAGGGUUGUAAAUUAUACUUCAGUUUUUAAUUCCGAAUACUGGAUUGAAAAAAAAUGUUACCGCAAAGUUUGCAAUUAAAAUCGGAAUCAAGUGAUUAUAUGGAAAACCUUUCCAUUUGACUAUAUAUUGUUUAGAAAUCUGGCAUACAAGGUCUGUCGCAAAAGAAACAGGACUGUUAAAAAAAACAACAAAAAAUUAAUAUUUUUCAGAAGUUAUAUUUUUUUAUUCAAAGAUUGGUUAAUAUGGAGUUUUUUGUCAAAAAAUCAGUGACAGGAGUCGACCAAUGACACGGCGCAUUAUCGUGCAACAGCCGCUAGGACCCUGCCUCACGGUAUUGUGGUCGAGCACGACGAAUGCGUGACAAAAGACGCUUCAUAACACCAAGGUAAAACACAGCAUUAAUCGUUUGGCCAGGUGGGACUAACUCUCGGUGUCCAAUACCCUCGGAAUCGUAAAAACAAAUCAGCAUUGUCUUUAUAUGCAUUUUACGACCGAUGACCAAAAGCUGCAGUCACUUUUUAAACGAUAACAACGAUUGUAGUUAUCCAAUUGUUUUAAAAUUUUUACGAAAUGUCAACAAGAACUUUUCAAACUUUGUAUUUCAUAUACCCACCAAUAGGUGGCGCCACCAGAAACAGUUAUAUUUAAAAAGUUCUGUUUCUUUUGCGACAGACCUUGUAUAUUCGUUGUUGACUUGUAAAGAGAAAUUAUAUACAAAUGGGUCAAUAAUCUAAAUGUAAACAAAUGUUGUUUUCUGUAGAUGUAGUUGUAUGCUUACCGUGGAGAUAAUGUGCUAUAACAACGGGAUAUGUAAACAAAUGGGGCAUUAAUAUAAAGGUAAAUGGAAAUAAAGAUUGUUAUAUUGUGUUAUGCUCACGAUACUACAAUUUUCUUCGCAUAAAUAAUGAAAAAUGUUUUCGUGCAAACGUGUGUAUUUUAUAUGGAAAAGAGCGACCUUUUUCUUGCAUUUUGUUUCCUCCGAAAUAUGUCAACAUAUGGUUCCAGAUAUUGCUGAUUUGUCCCUACGAUUCACAAAUUAUACCAUAAGAUCCAUUUCUGUCGAAGUUACGGGUUCAGAUCAUUGUCUUCAUCCCAGGUGCAAACUUGAAUUCUAAAUAUCUUUUGUUUUGUUUUUGGCCGUUGAGGAAAUUGCAUUUAGUGGCAUAAAGAUUUACGUUUGGUCCCGGAAUCACCAGACAUUAAUCCUAAUCAAAAUAUCUGGAACUUUUUGGAAAACCGUAUUUGAAAACAUCGAAUUUCAUCAAAAUAAGGCCAAAAAACUGGAUCAUCGAUAUCCGGAAAUAA